rnacentral:rRNA from 1 species
UACGUAGGGCGCAAGCGUUUGUCCGGAAUUAUUGGGCGUAAAGAGCUCGUAGGCGGUUUGUUGCGUCUGUCGUGAAAGCCCACAGCUUAACUGUGGGUCUGCGGUGGAUACGGGCAGACUAGAGGCAGGUAGGGGAGAAUGGAAUUCCCGGUGUAGCGGUGAAAUGCGCAGAUAUCAGGAGGAACACCAGCGGCGAAGGCGGCGCUCUGGGGCCGGUACUGACACUGAGGGAGCGAAAGCGUGGGGAGCAAACGGG